rnacentral:miRNA from 1 species
GCUGGACUCUGCAGAGGGGGGCCCGCAGCACACUCUCACUUCCCUUCCCAGCAGCUCCGCUGUCUAACUCUAACUCGGCCGCGGGACUCGCAAGAUUUAGACAGAUGAGCUGAAGGGAGCUGCUUGGAAGGGAAAGGAGAGUGUGCUGUGGGCCCCCCUCUGCAACGAUCAG